ACUUUGCUAAACUCCUCUGAAUCCUCAGAAUUUCCCUGUGGAUUAUGUAGACUCUUCUGCAUACACAACCAUAUCAUCUGUGAAUAAAGACAGUUUUGUUUUCUUCUUCACAAACUUUACCCAACUCACUGUGCAGUCUGCCACAUCCAGGCUGAUAUUGAAUAGCAGCGGCACCAAUAGGUGUCUUUGUCCCCUUGCCAAUCUUGUAAAGAAAGCUUUCAACAUUUUCCUGUUAGCUGUGUUGGCAGCUCUGACUCCAGCAUGACCCUGUCUGCAUGUCGCCUCUCCAGUGUGACCCUAUCAAACUUCCCCCUGGCCCCUGCCCCUGGGGAGGUGGCCUUCUCUCUGCCAUGCUGCCUGCUGUUCUCUUGCAAGGUGUCUUCAGACUUUCUUUCCUACAGCAACCAGGGUGCUUGGAGCAACCAAUUGCCCCCCCUUACCUGGUAGGGAUGCUAGGAGGGAGAGCGAGCCAUCAUGCCCGGGCUUAAACCAGCAAGCCUGAUUCUGAAUGUCCACAAGCUCUUGGCUGGUGGGGCCACAGGACUGGGACCCAAGCCUCCUGGCGACAUGGGUGAGGCCAUCUGUCAUCGGUCCUUCUCUCAGGCCACCUGGUUCCCUGUGACUCACUUGGUGUUGGCCAGGUGCAUGGAUGCAGAUCUGAGCAGACAGUCCCUGUGUCCCCAGUCUGGUUGGGGGUGCAGGGGUCUGGAGCCCAUGUGAGCCUGGUGAGAGCCUGGGAAGGAACCACUUUUUCCAUGGCAGAGCUGAGUGCAAAGCACGCUGUUGCACUGCUCUGGUGGUGGCAUUUUACUCUGUAACCUAUUCAUCCACACACUCAUGUAUUUCUCCACCCACCCAUUCAUCUACUUAUCCACCCAUUCACCCAUCCAUCCACUUAUCCAUCCACCCAUCUACACAUCC
rnacentral:lncRNA from 1 species